rnacentral:rRNA from 1 species
AGAGUUUGAUCAUGGCUCAGGAUGAACGCUGGCGGUAUGCUUUACACAUGCAAGUCGAACGCAAGUUUUUAACUUGAGUGGCGGACGGGUGAGUAACACGUGAGAAUUUACCUUUAGGCGGGGAAUAACCAUCGGAAACAAUGGCUAAUGCCCCAUAUGCUCGCAAGAGUGAAAGGAGUAAUCCGCCCAAAGAAGAGCUCGCGGCUGAUUAGCUAGUUGGUAAGGUAAUGGCUUACCAAGGCGACGAUCAGUAGCUGGUUUGAGAGAACGAUCAGCCACACUGGAACUGAGACACGGUCCAGACUCCUACGGGAGGCAGCAGUGGGGAAUUUUCCGCAAUGGGCGAAAGCCUGACGGAGCAAUACCGCGUGAGGGAUGAAGGCCUAAGGGUUGUAAACCUCUUUUAUCAAGGAGGAAGUUCUGACGUAUACUUGAUGAAUAAGCAUCGGCUAACUCCGUGCCAGCAGCCGCGGUAAGACGGAGGAUGCAAGUGUUAUCCGGAAUCACUGGGCGUAAAGCGUCUGUAGGUUGUUUAAAAAGUCCGCUGUUAAAGGUUGAGGCUUAACUUCAAAAGUGCAGUGGAAACUUUU